AAAGAAGAAAACCCAACAGGGGGAUUGCCUCAGUUAACGGGCGAGUGAAAGCGGCAAGAGCUCAAAUUUGAAAGCUGGCUCCUUCGGGGUCCGCAUUGUAAUUUUGCAGAGGAUGCUUCGGGAGCAGCCCCCAUCUAAGUGCCCUGGAACGGGCCGUCAUAGAGGGUGAAAAUCCCGUACGGGAUGGGGUGUCUGCGCCCAUGUGAAGCUCCUUCGACGAGUCGAGUUGUUUGGGAAUGCAGCUCUAAAUGGGUGGUAAAUUUCAUCUAAAGCUAAAUAUUGGCCGGAGACCGAUAGCGCACAAGUAGAGUGAUCGAAAGAUGAAAAGCACUUUGAAAAGAGAGUUAAAAAGCACGUGAAAUUGUUGAAAGGGAAGCGCUUGCGAUCAGACUCGCCUUGGGGGUUCAGCCGGCAUUCGUGCCGGUGUACUUCCCCCAGGGCGGGCCAGCGUCGGUUUGGGUGGCCGGUCAAAGGCCCUUGGAAUGUAACGCCUCUCGGGGCGUCUUAUAGCCAAGGGUGCCAUGCGGCCUACCUGGACCGAGGAACGCGCUUCGGCUCGGACGCUGGCAUAAUGGUCGUAAGCGACCCGUCUUGAAACACGGACCAAGGAGUCUAACAUCUACGCGAGUGUUCGGGUGUCAAACCCGUGCGCGCAGUGAAAGCGAACGGAGGUGGGAACCCUUUGGGUGCACCAUCGACCGAUCCUGAUGUCUUCGGAUGGAUUUGAGUAAGAGCGUAGCUGUUGGGACCCGAAAGAUGGUGAACUAUGCCUGAAUAGGGCGAAGCCAGAGGAAACUCUGGUGGAGGCUCGCAGCGGUUCUGACGUGCAAAUCGAUCGUCGAAAUUUGGGUAUAGGGGCGAAAGACUAAUUCGAACUAUCUAGUAGCUGGUUACUGCCGAAG
rnacentral:rRNA from 1 species